UAUAUUUUGUCAAGAUUGAACAAGAAACAGACAGCAAGGGUUGUCAGGUCAGAAACAGAAUGACACACAAACACAAGAAACUUCACAGGCAUAUCAACAUGCAAUUUGAAGACGUGUGAUAAAAUACAGAGAGGUGAAGUAGUGUGUCUUUCCAAAUCAUUCCCCCUUAAAAGAUGAGCCUGAAGAGGAGAUUUGGGAAGAUGCUGUUUCAUAAGUCGCUUUGCCUGAUCACAUGUGGUCGGGAUGUCUGCUAACAAGAUGCCUUGCUGGUCUGGGCGAGUAUAAAGGCUUACACAGACAGUCCAGAAGUUCUGAAGUCCAUCUUCGAUUUCAUUGGUAAGGGACUACACAAAAGGCUGUUUGACCCACACGUAAAGCAACCUGUCAGUGUUUGCUUUAAGCAUCUCAUUUGGGCGUGUUGAAAAUAUAAAGUUAAAAUCACUUAAGCAUUCAGUACUGGAUUCAUUUGUAACCAAAUCGAUCAGAAGCACCAUUCACUUCCAUAGUAUUUUUUUAUCCUACUAUGUAAGUCAAUGGUGCUUCUGGUCAGUUUGGUUGCAGACAUUCCUUAAAAAAUCUUUGUGUUCAUCAGGACGAUUUAAGGUGUAGAAACAUCUCAGCAACCUCAAGAGAAAUUGGAGGCAACUGUGCUAAAUUGCAGAUGAUGUUGCAAAGGGUCUGAAUAUGUAUAAUAUGCUGUCAUUGUAUUAAGUACAGCAUGAGCCAGAAUGGAUGGGUGGUGGUGGCCAUAAGAAGACUGUCAACUAAACCAACAACAAA